rnacentral:RNase_P_RNA from 1 species
ACUACAAACCGUGCUAUCGUUUUCCAGGAUCAAACCUGGAGGAAGGAAAGUCCGGACAGCAAAGAGCAACACACCACCUAACGGGUGGGACCUGGUGCAAACCAGGUACAGACAGUGCCACAGAAAAUAACCGCCGGGAGCUUGCUCCCGGUAAGGGUGAAAAUGCAGGGUAAGAGCCUGCGUCCUGUGGUGGUAACAUCAUGAGAGGGUAAACCUUGUGUGCUGAAAUGCCAUGUAUACGGUCGCUUGAGGGCUGCUCGUCCAAGACCGAGGGUAGGCAGAUACAGGUAACGUGCGAACGUUAUCGCAGAUAAAUGAUAGCAUCGCCCGCUUCGGCAGGCGAACAGAAUCCGGCUUAUAGGUUUGUAGUUUAU